rfam:Oceanicola litoreus strain DSM 29440 genome assembly, contig: Ga0131108_12
GGGCACCUACGGGGGCCUACAACAUCAGGGCAGCGCGCGCGCCGCCCGCACAGAAAACGGAAGACAGUCA